UUGGAAUAGAAAUUGGCUAUUUCUACAUAGGGAAAGUCGUGUGCAAUGAAAAAUGCAAGCACGAUUUGGGGAGGGAUUUUUCUCUAUUGUAACAAGGAAGAAUUAUCUACUCCAUCCGACUAGUUCCGGGUUCGAGUCCCGGGCAACCCAUAUAGAAAAGACCCAUCAAAGUUUUUAACUUUGACUCACUUCAUUUACAAAUACAAAAUUAUUGGUUUGGUUAAUUUAGUUAUAUGGAUAGCUAAUCUUUGGGCUGACUUGGUUGACAUUGGUAUAUAGUCUAUGUUAUACUGUUAAAUAACAAGCCUUCUAUUAUCUAUAUUCUAGUUAAUACGUGUGCUUGGGAGUCCUUGCAAUUUGAAUAAACCAAGUUCUUACAAUGACUGCAAUUUUAGAGAGACGUGAAAGUACAAGCCUGUGGGGUCGCUUCUGCAACUGGAUAACUAGCACUGAAAAUCGUCUUUACAUCAGAUGGUUCGGUGUUUUGAUGAUCCCUACCUUAUUGACCGCAACUUCUGUAUUUAUUAUCGCCUUCAUCGCUGCCCCUCCAAUAGAUAUUGAUGGUAUUCGUGAGCCUGUUUCUGGUUCUUUACUUUAUGGAAACAAUAUUAUCUCUGGUGCUAUUAUCCCUACUUCUGCGGCGAUCGGAUUGCACUUUUACCCAAUUUGGGAAGCUGCAUCUGUUGAUGAGUGGUUAUACAAUGGUGGUCCUUAUGAGCUAAUUGUUCUACAUUUCUUACUUGUGUAGCUUGUUAUAUGGGUCGUGAGUGGGAACUUAGUUUCCGUCUGGGUAUGCGUCCUUGGAUUGCUGUAGCAUAUUCAGCUCCCAUUGCAGCUGCUACUGCUGUUUUCUUGAUUUACCCUAUUGGUCAAGGAAGCUUUUCUGAUGGUAUGCCUUUAGGAAUCUCUGGUACUUUCAACUUUAUGAUUGUAUUCCAGGCAGAGCACAACAUCCUUAUGCAUCCAUUCCACAUGUUAGGUGUAGCUGGUGUAUUCGGCGGUUCCCUAUUCAGUGCUAUGCAUGGUUCCUUGGUAACCUCUAGUUUGAUCAGGGAAACUACUGAAAAUGAAUCUGCUAAUGAGGGUUACAAAUUUGGUCAAGAUGAAGAAACUUAUAAUAUUGUGGCUGCUCAUGGUUAUUUUGGCCGAUUAAUCUUCCAAUAUGCUAGUUUCAACAACUCUCGUUCUUUACACUUCUUCUUGGCUGCUUGGCCUGUAGUAGGAAUCUGGUUCACUGCUUUAGGUAUUAGUACUAUGGCUUUCAACCUAAAUGGUUUCAAUUUCAACCAAUUUGUAGUUGAUAGUCAAGGUCGCGUUAUUAAUACUUGGGCUGAUAUCAUCAACCGUGCUAACCUUGGUAUGGAAGUAAUGCACGAACGUAACGCUCACAACUUCCCUCUAGACUUAGCUGCUAUUGAAGUUCCAUCUAUUAAUGGAUAAGGUUUUUGUGCUAACAUAUAAGAAUUUUUGAAGAAAGAAAAGACAGAAAUACCCAAUAUCUUGCUAGAACAAGAUAUUGGGUAUUUCUGUCUUUA